rnacentral:rRNA from 1 species
UACAGAGGGUGCGAGCGUUGUUCGGAAUUACUGGGCGUAAAGGGCGCGUAGGCGGUUCUUUAAGUCAGGCGUGAAAGCCCUGGGCUCAACCUGGGAGUGGCGCUUGAUACUGGAGGACUAGAGAGUGGGAGAGGUUGGUGGAAUUCCCAGUGUAGAGGUGAAAUUCGUAGAUAUUGGGAAGAACACCGGUGGCGAAGGCGGCCAACUGGACCAUUUCUGACGCUGAGGCGCGAAAGCGUGGGGAGCAAACAGG